rnacentral:rRNA from 1 species
UGGGGAAUAUUGGACAAUGGGCGGAAGCCUGAUCCAGCAACGCCGCGUGAGGGAUGACGGCCUUCGGGUUGUAAACCUCUUUCAGUACCGACGAAGCGGAAGUGACGGUAGGUACAGAAGAAGCACCGGCCAACUACGUGCCAGCAGCCGCGGUAAUACGUAGGGUGCGAGCGUUGUCCGGAAUUAUUGGGCGUAAAGGGCUCGUAGGCGGUUUGUCGCGUCGGGAGUGAAAACACUGGGCCUAACUCAGUGCUUGCUUCCGAUACGGGCAGACUAGAGGCAUGCAGGGGAGAACGGAAUUCCUGGUGUAGCGGUGAAAUGCGCAGAUAUCAGGAGGAACACCGGUGGCGAAGGCGGUUCUCUGGGCAUGUCCUGACGCUGAGGAGCGAAAGUGUGGGGAGCGAACAGGAUUAGAUACCCUGGUAGUCCACACCGUAAACGUUGGGCGCUAGGUGUGGGGCCUAUUCCAUGGGUUCCGUGCCGCAGCUAACGCAUUAAGCGCCCCGCCUGGGGAGUACGGCCGCAAGGCUAAAACUCAAAUGAAUUGACGGGGUCAUAGCUGUUUCCU